CUUGCUACAUCACGGGCGUUGAUGGAGGCCCAAAAAAAUCUUCAAUUCCAAAGGUCAGCGGAGUACAUAGUGACACCGGAAGUUCAAUAGAAAGACUGGCGUUGAGUGAUCCAGGUAGAGAAUCUUGAUAGAGAUUGACUUUUUACGAGAUGGGGAAUUUGAUAGAUCUCCCUACUAGCAUGGAAAAAAUAUUCAUGUUUGUUACAAAAGUGGUCAUCUACCUGUUCUUCAUUCUAACAUAUUUCACUAAUAUAUCUGCACAAGGUGCCACUCAGCAAGUGCUUGCACAACCAAUCCAGG